rnacentral:lncRNA from 1 species
CUAAGUUCGACCUCGAUGACUACAUCAAGAAUCAAGCUCAUGCACGCUUGAUGUUCAGCACUGAAGCGUUGAUCGAGUCCAAAAGCGUUGUGCAUUGAAAACAAACAAACACAUGUGCAUGAACAUUUGUUGAUUAAAUUAAACACAGUAGUGUGCACGAACAUUCAUCAAUUAAAUUAAAAACAAGGUAAUGUGCGCGAACAUUGUUCGAUGAAAUUAAUAACGAAAGUAUCAGCCCAGUUCGGGCAAUAUUACAAAAUUUUUUCAAAACAAAGUUAAAGACCUAAUCGAUAUCUACAACCCUGACAUUGUCCCCUUGAUCUCCAGUCCCGGCGUCAUCUCCAUCACCACCAUCAUCAUCCUCUUCACCAUAUUCCUCGACCUCAAAAGCUGAAAGUUCGAGCUCCCUUACGAGCUUGUUCACUGUCUUCAAAUCCUCAACCGGGGACUUUAAAUCCUCAGGGAUCUUCGUGCG